ACAGAGUCUCACUCUGUCUCCCACACUAGAGUACAGGGGCACAAUCUCGGCUCACUGCAACUUCUGCCUCCUGGGUUCCAUUGAUUCUCCCGCCUCAGCCUCCCGGAUAGCUGGGAUUACAGGCGUGCGCCACCACACCUGGCCCUACAGUUUCAAGAUGAUGGGAUGACAGCAUUUCUACCUUACUCUCUGCCUGAACCAAAAUGAGGUGGCAAAGUCACAGGAACAGAAGUCCUGCUUUUGGUGAGACUACAAGACACCUGGAACCUGAAUCACAGUGUAGAAGAACGUCAGCAGACAGUGGACGCAAACAUGACCCCACAGAGCGGACAGUCUGGAGCAGCCAGUGGAUCCCUCCACAUGACCUGUGUGAAAGGAAAGGAAAAUCUCGAGACCAAACUCACCAUGCCAAAGGGAACUGAGUCAUGCAAUGCCUGCCUGCCUUCUGUUUCCAGACAGCUGUGAUCCCCAUGCCUGCGUUAUCGCAUGUCAAAUGUAGACCUACUGAGCGUGAGACAGAUGCAUGACUGGCUUUCCCCUAACUCUGUUCUUUUUUUUUUUUUUUUUUUGAGAUGGAGUCUCACUCUGUCAUCUAGGCUGGAGUGCAGUGGGGCGAUCUUGGCUCAUUGCAACCUCCGCCUCCUGGGUUCAAACGAGCCUCCUGCCUCAGCCUCCCGAGUAGCUGGGAUUACCGGCGCAUGCCACCAUGCCUGGCUAAUUUUUUUGGUAUUUUUAGUAGAGAUGGGGUUUCGGCAUAUUGGCCAGGCUGGUCUCAAACUCCUGGCCUCAAGUGAUGUGCCCAUCUCAGCCUCCCAAAGUGUUGGGAUUACAGGCAUGAGCCACCAUGCCCGGCCGGCUCCAUUCUUUACACAGGUGAAAUGUAGAUUCUCUGAGUGCUAAUCAGAGCCUCAUGAGAAUGUGGCCUCUCACCUGUUUGCCUACCCUCUUUGUUUCCCUUUUCUCCUUUCUCUUGAAACACUGAAGUCCUUAAAACCCUCUUUGGUAAAAGCACAGGACACAGAUUCUAUUGUGCCUUGAGUUUCUUUUUCCCGGGCACAUGCUCAACCUCAGCAAAAUAAAUCUCUCAGCCGAU
rnacentral:lncRNA from 10 species